AUUGAACGCUGGCGGCGUGCUUAACACAUGCAAGUCGAUCGGUAACAGGUGUAGCAAUACAUGCUGACGAGAGGCGGACGGGUGAGGAAUAUUUGGGAAUCUGCCCAUCAGCGGGGGACAACCCGGGGAAACCCGGGCUAAUACCGCAUACGCUCUACGGAGGAAAGCCGGGGACCGCAAGGCCUGGCACUGAUGGAUGAGCCCAAAUCGGAUUAGCUAGUUGGCGGGGUAACGGCCCACCAAGGCGACGAUCCGUAGCUGGUCUGAGAGGACGAUCAGCCACCCCGGAACUGAGACACGGUCCGGACUCCUACGGGAGGCAGCAGUGGGGAAUAUUGGACAAUGGGGGAAACCCUGAUCCAGCGACGCCGCGUGGGUGAAGAAGGCCUGCGGGUUGUAAAGCCCUUUCGGUAGGGACGAAAGCUCUUGCUCUAAUAAUGCAAGAGGUUGACUUAACCUACAUAAGAAGCACCGGCUAACUCUGUGCCAGCCGCCGCGGUAACAC
rnacentral:rRNA from 1 species